UUUUUUUUUUUUUUUUGGUUUUCCAUUUAUUUUAUUUUUUAUUUUUUUUAUUUGAGGAGUGUGCACAUAUUCCACAAUUAUUUUUAAUUAUAACAAUAAUAAAAACUCCAUUAAUGAAGCAAAUCUUGUUAGAAACUAAUUAAGAAAACUUGGUAGAAUUCAAAUUGGAAACAGUUUGAAUUGACAAUUCUGAGUGCAAAGUAGUAAGAAACCAUCUAUCAUACAGUAAUUAAAGAACAUUUUAAAUCUUACCCUUCAGCUGUAUCUUCAAAGCUUUUUUAUAAUUGUAGGUAACUAGCUAGUUUACUAAUUCCAAAGCAAAUAUAUUCAUCUCUGUAUACAAUUUUCUUUUCAUGUUCAAUAAUAUCUAGUGAUUGGUUUGCAUGGUUUAGGAAGAAUGCCUGUUCUUUAAAUUUUUUUUUUUUUUUACAAAAUAAACUACAUAUAUUUAAACACAAUUACAUUCACACAGAUUAUUAUAUCAUGGAUCUUAAGAAACAUAUUAAGCGACUCCCUUUGGAGAAGUGGAAUGGAAAAUAUGCUGAGACAAAAAGGAAAUUUAUUGUAUACUUUAUCCCAUUUUGCAUGGCUUUCAUCUUUACUAUUUAGUAUUAUCUAUUACAUUUCAGUUUUUCUUUAAAAAUUAGCAUUAUAUUAAAAUUGUGUGUAUUAUGCAACUAAAAUUUAUAAAGAAGAAAGCCUUAUAUACCAUUAAAUAUUUUAUAUAGCAUAAUAAAAAGAAUAACCUAACUGGUAAGAAUAUCAAAAAUAAUACACCCUCUGAAAAUAAGUAAAAUAUAAAAUGCAUAAGUUGACUAAAAGACAGUGUAACUCUAUAAAUAUGUCCUCACAAUUUGUUACAUCUCAUUGAUUCUUCAAUAAAGGCAUUACACCAUUCUAGGUGAUAUGAUAAACAAGACAUUAUAGACUUUACAUUGUACCAUGGAGAGAAAUGGUUAUUAAUAAUACAAUUGUAGACCUAUAUUACUUAAUUGUGCAGUUGUAUUAUUUAAUUAUAAUUAUCAUAAAUUCUUUGAUGGAGAGAAAAUCAGAUGGAAGAAGACUUCAGCAUUCCAAGAAUGAUGUCAAAUGACCCCCUUCAUGGUGGAUUAUGCACUUAUUUACUAUGAGAUAUAUUUCUUCUCCAGAGAUUCCUUGUUUGUGUAUCAAUUGUAGAUUUUUGGUUUGCAGUCAUUCUGAAGUUUUGAUAUAAGAGUCUAUAUGUACAUGACAUUGUUUUAAGUUGUUGUUCUCUUAAUUGCAAGUUCAUCUCCAGUGCCCUGCAUUUGUACCCACCUCUUCUCACAAUUUCUGAUUUUGGUGGUAUAAUCGUGCAUGAAGGAUUUCGUAUCUUUACUGUAUAGAUACCUUUACUGGUGAGCCUUGUCAUAUGCGGCAUUUUUGUUUCCUGUUGCUGUCUUUUCAUUUCUGCCUAGAGAAGUUCCUUUAGUAUUUGUUGUAAGGAUGGUAUAGUGUUGCUGAAUUCUCUCAACUUUUGCUUAUCUGUGAAGGUUUUGAUUUCUCCCUCAAAUCUGAAUGAGAGCCUUGCUGGGUAAAGUAAUCUUGGUUGGAGGUUUUUUCCUUUCAUCACUUUAAGUAUAUCAUGCCACUCCCUUCUGGCCUGGAGAGUUUCUGCUGAAAAAUUUGCUGAUAACCUUAUCGGGGUUCCCUUGUAUGUUACUUGUUUUUUUCCCUCGCUGCUUUCAAGAUUUUCUUUGUCUUUAAUUUUGGUCAGUUUGAUUAAUAUGUGUCUUGGUGUAUUCCUCCUUGGAUUUAUUUUGUACGGUACUCAUUGUGCUUCCUGGAUUUGAGAGAGUGGUUCCUUUCCCAUGUGAGGGAAAUUUUAGGCUAUGAUCUCUUGGAAUAUUUUUUCUGUCUCCUUCUCUCUAUCUUCUCCUUCUGGCACCCCUAUAAUACAGAUGUUGGUGCAUUUAACAUUGUCCCAGAGUUCUCUGAGACUCUCCAUUUCUUUUCAAUCUUUUUUCUCUUUUCUGUUCUGCAUCCUUGAUUUCCACUAAUCUGUCCUCCACCUUGCUUAUUCACUCUUCUGCCUCCUGUAUUCUGCUGUUGGCUGCUUCUAGCGAAUUUUUUAUUUCAGUUAUUGUAUUUUGCAUCUCUUCUUGUUUAAGUUUUAUAUCUUGUAUCUCUUUGCUCAGUGUUUCCUGUAAGUUAUCCAUCUUUGCCUUCAGUUUGUUCCCAAUGUCUUGCAUCAUCUUCAGCAUCAACAGUCUAAAGUCUUUUUCCUGGAGGCUGACACUCUCCUCCUUGCUUAGCUGAUUUUCUGGGGUUUUUCCUUUCUCCCUCAUCUGAGUUAUAGUUCUCUGUGUUCAUUUUUAUAGGUUUUUGGUGUGGUGACCUUUUUACAGAUAACAGGGUUGUAGCCUCUCUUACUUCUGGUGUCUGCCCCCCUUGUGGCUGAAGUCGGUAUGGGGGGCUUGCUGUAGGCUUCCUGAUGGGAGAUGUUGAUGCCUGCCCACUGGUAGGUGGAACUGAUUCUAAUUCCUCUGGUGGGUGGGGCUUAGUCUCUGGAUGGGAUUAGAGGUGGCUGUGUGCCUGAGGAGUCUUUAGGCAGCCUGUUUACUGAGGGGCAGGGCUGUGAUCCCACCUGAAUUGUUGUUUGCCCUGGGGCUUCUCAGCAGGCUGACUAACAGGUGGGGCCAGAUUUUCUCAAAAUGGCCACCUCCAGAGAAAGGCAGCUGCUCAAUAUUCCCGAGAGUUUUGCCUUCAAUGUCCCUCCCUCACAACAAGCCACAUUCACCCCUGUUUUCCCAGGAGGUCCUCCAAGAACUGCGGUCAGGUUUGACCCAGAUUCCCAUGGAGACUUUGCUUUGCCUUGGGAUCCAGUGCACGUGAAAGUCUGUGUGAAUGGGGUCUCCGUUUCCCCCAGUCCCGUGGAGCUCCUGCACACAAGCCCUACUGGCCUUCAAUGCCAGAUGCUCCAGGGGCUCUUUCUUCCAGUGCCAGAUCCCCACACGUGAGGAUUUGAUGUGUGGCUCAGAACUCUCACUCCUGUAGGUGAGUCUCUGUGAACCAGUUAGUUUCCAGUCUGUGGAGCCUCCCACCCAGGAGGUAUGGGGUUGUUUACAUCGUGAAAUCGCCCCUCCUACCUCUUGAUGUGGCCUCCUCUAGUUCUUCUGGAGUAGGGUAUCUUAAGGUUUCCGGUCCAUUUGGGUGGGGAUUGCUCAGCUUUUAGUUGUGAAUUUUGUUGUUUUUAGGAGAGAAGUUGAGCUCCAGUCCUUCUAUUCCGCCAUCUUAAUGUCCAUUAUCCACACUGUGCUUUGUGAUUCUGCAUUCUGCAUCAACCAAACCUUCCCCAUCUGUAGAAAUACUUCCUCAACCAUAAAGAGCAAUAUUCUUCUAAUAUCAAUAAUAUAUCUUGUUAAAGACAGCAUUCCUUCUUCAGCUUGUAAGGAGUCAUGUGGCAUUUAGAUCUGGAUUAUAUAAACUGUUAAUAAUAUGUUAUUUAAUGUAUAGCCCUUUGUUGCAAAAAAUUUAUGUAAGUGUGCCUUGAUUUCCAAUGGGCACAACAGUUCUCAGAGCUUCCUGAGAUCUUCUUCCCAGGUUAUAAUCUGCAAAUUUAGCUCAAUAAAUUUUUCAGUUUCUGUUUUAGAUUGACUGAUUAAUACUUUGUCAACAUUAGGAAAGAAGACACUGACCUAGUUGGAGGUUAGUUUCAGUGUCCCAUUCUCUUAUAGAGCAGCCAAGAAGGUAAGUUCUUAGAUCUGACUCUUUCUCCCCAGACCAUGCUCAUGCUCAGUCAUUAAAGCUUGGUUGUGAAAGGGAAGUCUGGGUAGAGAAGUUACAUUGGACUUCCAUGUAUUCUUUUAUAAAAAGUUUGGAUACUGUUUGUGGCUCUUCAGGUUACUGAACUGGUAGCUGUAUCAUUUCUGAUUGAAAAAUGUAGGAAGAUCCUGCUGUGUGAAUUGAAGGAUGUGAACAAAAUGUGUAUGAUUCCAGAAAUGCUGAUUUAUUGCUGAACACAAUGGUGUCUUAAUUGAAGAGCCACCUGUGCAGCAGAAGAAGGAGUGUGUUAUCAGGUUUACCAUCUUUUUUUAAAUAAACAAGAAGAUCUAAGUUUUUUAACCUGGAAACUUACACUAUUUCUCUUCCUCCUUAGAUAAUGGACUUGUCUCUUUUUUUCAAUUGUAAAACAGAUGAGCAUUAUUUUUUCAUCUUAUCAAACUAUAAUUUGAAGAGAAAUGUCCAUUAUUCAUAACUAAAUCAUUAAUCAAACCUAGAAUUCCAGAAGAACUGGAAAAUUGGCAAAUACAUGCAAAACCCAGUCCAGAGCAAUUUUGUUUGAUUUACAAGGAGCCUCUUGUCUCUGUGUUUAAAUGUAACCAUGUGCCCCUACAGUCAUCUGUCAGACAGGGAGAAUUUCCAGAUAAUCAAAAUGUCACAAAGUUAGUACAUUUAAUUUUUAUUUCAUCCCCUGCAAGUAUGAACUCUGAUUUAAAUUACAGCUUCAUCUGCUCUUGAAUAAUUUUGUUUUAUCAGACAAAGACAGAGGUUUAACAACCACACUGAUGGAGAACAGGGAACCUGCUUAAGAGAGGAAAUAAUAAGAAUGCUAGGUUUGGGGAAAACCCGGAUAGUAUAAGUAUACAACAUGUCUCUUGACAUUACAAUUUUCAGUUAAAUAUUUAGCUCCCAUAACUUAAUUCUACAAUGGUUACAUGUUGUUCUCUCUGGUUAAGAUAUUAAAUUGUAGGGAUCAAACCUAAAGCAAGAAAUGCUCUAGCAGAAAAAGCAAAUUUAAAUAUAGAAGAAUUCCAACUCAGUAGGACGGAUCAAGUGAGGUGACUAUCAUUCAAGAAGCUAAGGAUCUGAAGAAUAUUCUCAUUUUCCCUCAUUCUACCAUGCUUUUACUAGUUAGACACACAAUAAAAGGAUCAGGCCUCCCCUACCUACAUCCUUGAUCAGAUGUCUAAGGAGAAACUAUUCAGGGUUGGGAUGACACUUUUUUCUACAUCUACUGGAGCUGACCUUAAUAAAAUGGUUUAAAUCAAAGCCAAGUUUAUAUUCCUUACUUAACAGGCUAAGUUACAUGAUGUUGAACAGACCAUCAGCAUUAAUAUGUUAAAUUGUUCCUCCCUUAAAAGUAAUAAUAAUACCUCUCCUAGUUUGACAUGGAUUUACUUCGAUACGGAAAAGGUAUAACUUGUGAUAAGUUUGAAAUAACAUGAAAAAAAGUGGUAUCAAUUAUUGUCUCUUCUUUAAAUAAUAUAAAUCUCAGAUUGAUAGGGAGGACAAGCAGAAGACAUGAAUCCUGUGAGGAGAAGAGAAUGAGAGAUGGAUGGACCUUGUAUUGCAUAAUGGAAUUUUGGUAGAGCUAAAGUUCCUGAAUUUACCUACUUUAGAACUUCGUUGAGAAGUGGCAGCCUGGCAGAGAUAACAAGAGUCAAUGUCCCACAGCUGAUGUGAAGCACGACUGGGAUUAAAGUCUCCAGAGCUUGAGCCUAAUGUCCUUUUCAUUAUGCCAAUACACCAUAUUGCAAAUUUUUCUUUCUACUUGCAAAAUUCUGAGGAGUUAAAGGCAAAUCUUGUUGGAGGGGUGUGAAGUGUGUUUCUCACAGGCUCAUCUCAUAAGCUCUUAGAGUAGGAAAUACUCUGAGUUCUUAAAAUUAAAGAAUCAAUGCAUACAGUUCCACUCUCCAUGGCAGAUAAUGAUCCAUCCUCUAUGAUUAUCUCCGGAGAAAGAAAGGAACUAUUGUUUAAUGGCUAUUUGCAUUAACACGAGAAACAUAUAAAGGUAGAUGAUUAUUCUUUAGUCAGGUACAUUUAAACUCUAGAUUGACAUUAAAACGACUCCAAGCAGUUUCCUAACUUCCAGUCCCCCCUCACUCUGCCCUAGGCACACUGACCUCCCCUCGUGUUGGUCCCUAAGUAUCAGAAAUCUUCUCCCAAAUUGAUGGGUGCACUUCCUCCAAAAAGGUACAUGAUUUCCUCCUUUUAUUCCUCUAGGAAAUGUCUAUUCAUUGGAAAGUCACAUUUGACCACCCUGUCAAAAACAAGAUCCCAUCACAUAGUCCCCUUAAGCUACUUUGCUUUAUAAAUUUACUAUUUCCCUCUACAUUAAUGUAAACUCUUUGCAAGGAGUACUUUGUUUUAUACCAUGUUCUAUUUAUUUUCAGCACCUAGAACAGGGCCUGACACAUGGAAAAAGAAGAGUAAAACCCUGAAAGAAAGAAAAUUAAUCUUUUAAUAUAAUCCUUUAACAACUUUAGGCUUUUUAUUUAACCACUAUGGAGAAAUUCUAUGAGAAGGAUCUAUUAGCUGUCUAUAUAUUUUAAAAUAAAUAUAUUUAUUUCCCUUAAGGGAUAAAUAUUUCAAUCAUUUCAGUUGCUGUAUAAUAAUUUUCAAGUAUAUUUUAAAUUUUUAAUCAUAAAUAUACCUUCUUCAAUGACUU
rnacentral:lncRNA from 1 species